rnacentral:rRNA from 1 species
GACGAACGCUGGCGGCGUGCUUAACACAUGCAAGUCGAGCGGAAAGGCCCUUCGGGGUACUCGAGCGGCGAACGGGUGAGUAACACGUGAGUAAUCUGCCCUUCACUCUGGGAUAGCCACCGGAAACGGUGAUUAAUACCGGAUACGACCAAUCCCUGCAUGGGGUGUUGGUGGAAACUUUUUUGGGUGGGGGAUGUGCUCGCGGCCUAUCAGCUUGUUGGUGGGGUAAUGGCCUACCAAGGCUUCGACGGGUAGCCGGCCUGAGAGGGUGACCGGCCACACUGGGACUGAGACACGGCCCAGACUCCUACGGGAGGCAGCAGUGGGGAAUAUUGGACAAUGGGCGGAAGCCUGAUCCAGCAACGCCGCGUGAGGGAUGACGGCCUUCGGGUUGUAAACCUCUUUCAGCACCGACGAAGCGCAAGUGACGGUAGGUGCAGAAGAAGGACCGGCCAACUACGUGCCAGCAGCCGCCGCGGUAA